rnacentral:pre_miRNA from 1 species
CUACCCUGUAGAACCGGGCUUUUGUAGACUAGCGACCCUUUCAGAAGCUCGUUUCUACAGGUAUCU